AGGUGGGAUUCCAAAGCCACUGUCCUUUCAUAAUGUUUUUCUCAUCAUUCUAGUCAAUCCAAUAGGAUCGGAAGAGGUUGAAUCAAGCAAAUCUCACCACCAGAGCCAGAUUUGUGCAACAAUCCAGACGUUUCUCUGCCAUGAUGCCUGCACAGAAGGCCUUUUGAAGAGUAUUUUAUCUUUACUAUCAACUUAAAACUUUCCAUUAUUACUGCCCACACAGUGGGCAAACACCUAGCAGCCAUGUGUUAUUGCCUAGUAUAUCCAUAUUUUAUAGGGCUGUUAGUGAUUUUCUUCACACUAACAGGGAUUCCCCUUUAUCCUGGCAAAACAAUCGUCCUGAUAGACAAAGUUGUUCCAGAGUAAUUACUUUUUUUUAUCAUGGAUAUGCCAUUUUCGAAGCAGAGGCCAAAAAAAGGGUAAUCACCAAAAUAGGUGUUCCAGUAAUAAAAUAUGCACAAUAUUUAUUACAGUUUAAAAUCUGUAAAUGCAUUAUGAAUCAAAGUUUUGUAAAACAAUUUUCAAACCAGCAUUCCCAGAUGAACAAUGUGAAUUUUAAUUCCAUAAACCCCAGCAGAUUUUGUGAUAUCAUCCUUUGAUGGAUUUUACAUUACAUGUUAUUUAGCUGACGCUUUUAUCCAAAGCGACUUACAUUGCAUUUUUAACCCAUGGCUUUUUACAUUUUUGCCCGGGGGGCAGGGGUUAGGUGUCUUGCUCAGGGACACUUAUACAUGGAGCAUCUGGGGCUCAAACACCAACCUUGCGGUUCCCGGCACACCCUCUCUACUCCAUGCGCCACCAUCGACCCCAUUAAUUUAGUUGUUUAGUGGCAAGAACAAAAUGCUUCAUGCACAGAUUCUGUCAUUGAUUUCUGUCUCUCUUGGACUCUUCACUAUUGAAUGAGAUCUCUCACAACUACACCCUAUCAACAUGCAAUUUGACUCAUGAUAGCUGUGGAAAAAGGCGGUUUUGAUGAAUGGAUACUUGCAGAGCGAGAUUAUUUGAAGGCAAGGCCGCUAACCAGGGUUAAAAAUUUGACUAGUUUGGAGUUAGAAUGUCUUCAUUUAACGUAACCUAACGUAUUUCUUUUAAAUCACUGACAAAUAGAAUGGGGAAGACCGUUCAGUUUGUGGUUUAAUUACCUGUUUCUUGCUUUUCUUAUUCUUUCAAGCAUACAACAGUACGUUUUCAUCUUGGCAUUUCACGUUGGAGCUGGUAAAAUAUUUGAAAGUAUUCAAUCGUCGAGUGACUGUUGCUUGUGAUUUCCAGGCAGGCUAAUUAAUGUUAAUCAGUUAAUUAAAUCCCAGCAGCCAUCUGAAGGGAGCAGAACAGGCAUGUGAUAAAUCUGCAAUCCGAGUUUAAAGUGCAGCACAGCUCUUUGCCUGUACACAUAGGGAUCAACUGUUUUCAUCAUUAGUCAUGUCGCCAUAUAAACAAACAACUUAUAACUGACCAGUUUCAUGUGUUUUAUAACGGUUUGAUGUUGAGACAAAUUGGACUGGUAUUUGGUUUUCUAUUUAUAGCCUCUCUGACGCUGCCAGCUUGGUAGUAUCAGGCUGCAGGGGCUGGCACCAUGGCGCAGAACUUUAUAAAUUGGGAAGGCAUUUAUGGCACUGCAUGACGUUUUCAACGUUAAAAGGACACCCAUUUAUGCACUGCAUCUUGUUGUCUUUACUUAAUGAGCACCCAAAUAGGACACUUUGUCAUGUUUUAUCUAGCACAGGGGCAUCCAAAACGCCACUUCUUAAUGUAUUUUUCAAUUGAAAGGACCACAAGUUCUUACUUCAUACUGUUUUCUCAACUCAGAGGACACUUCAUCUUGUUUUCUCCAAUAGAAAGGCACCAGUGAGGGAACUUCAUGAAUGGCCCUAAGGUACAUAGAACAUGAAGAGGACCAGUCAUCAUGUUCUAUCUACCAUAGGGCCAUCCAAGACGACACUUCAUCAUUCUAUCCCCAUAGAGCCAUUCAAGAGAGCACUUCCUACUUGGUGGAGCAGUGGGAGAUGGAGUCAGGACAUUGUCUAUCAAAUCUGCAGUACAACAUUCAACUCGUAUGCCAGGCGGAGGUCAUUCAUGGAGUAGGUUUUUUUUGCCUUCUCCAAACUGAAGCUGAGAACUGUUGGGAGUUUCUCAGAGUACACAGUAGUCGUUUAGCAUCUCUCACCGCCUUGCUAAACUUGUAUGUUGACUCUGUGUACAAGUCUUUGUCCCCACUCCUAAAUGCCUGAUCCUUCUGCAGACGUAGUUUUCUGAGUUCCGCUGUGAACCAGGGUUUGUCGUUGUUGAAACUCACUCAGAUACAGCGUCUGUGAACUCAUCCAGAUUGUUCGUAGCA
ensembl:lncRNA